CAGUGACUUCUAACCAGUGAAAAGGCCAAUGCUUGAGAAUAAGAAACUUUGUGAGAUCAACGACAUCUAAAUGUGGAGAGCCUCUAUUCCCCUUUAUGAAAGUCAAGAGGGCUGUCUAUGCAAAGUCAUGCUUCACUUCACUCCUUUAUAACUGCCCUUGCUCUAUUCUCAUUCCCCAUUCCCUUUGAUUGUCUUGCAGGAACAGCUACAGUAUACAUUUAGAUAGAAGAAUGAACAGAAAAACAUUUUACCAUUUCAUUUUCAUACUUCUAUUUGGACAAGGUGUUAUCUGUGAUGAGAUCAGACUAGAUCAGUCUCCUGCUCAAGUAAAGACACCAGGAGGGACAGUUAAGAUCUCCUGUAAAACAUCUGGAUUUGUCAUGACAAAAUUCUACAUGCACUGGAUCAGACAGAAACCAGGAGAGGCUUUGGAGUGGAUCGGAAGAAUGGACACCGGAAAGAAUGAUGCUAUUUAUGCAGAGUCUCUGAAGGGCCAGUUCACCCUGACUGAAGACGUCCCCACAUCCAGCAUGCAGUACUUAGAGGCCAAGAGUCUGAAAGCAGAGGACACUGCUGUUUACUACUGUGCACGAGACGCACAGUGA